rnacentral:rRNA from 2 species
GCUACACAUGCAGUCGAGCGGGGAGANNGUAGCUUGCUACNNUUGACCUAGCGGCGGACGGGUGAGUAAUGCUUAGGAAUCUGCCUAUUAGUGGGGGACAACAUUCCGAAAGGAAUGCUAAUACCGCAUACGCCCUACGGGGGAAAGCAGGGGAUCUUCGGACCUUGCGCUAAUAGAUGAGCCUAAGUCAGAUUAGCUAGUUGGUGGGGUAAAGGCCUACCAAGGCGACGAUCUGUAGCGGGUCUGAGAGGAUGAUCCGCCACACUGGGACUGAGACACGGCCCAGACUCCUACGGGAGGCAGCAGUGGGGAAUAUUGGACAAUGGGCGNAAGCCUGAUCCAGCCAUGCCGCGUGUGUGAAGAAGGCCUUUUGGUUGUAAAGCACUUUAAGCGAGGAGGAGGCUACUUGGAUUAAUACUCUAGGAUAGUGGACGUUACUCGCAGAAUAAGCACCGGCUAACUCUGUGCCAGCAGCCGCGGUAAUACAGAGGGUGCGAGCGUUAAUCGGAUUUACUGGGCGUAAAGCGUGCGUAGGCGGCUUUUUAAGUCGGAUGUGAAAUCCCUGAGCUUAACUUAGGAAUUGCAUUCGAUACUGGGAAGCUAGAGUAUGGGAGAGGAUGGUAGAAUUCCAGGUGUAGCGGUGAAAUGCGUAGAGAUCUGGAGGAAUACCGAUGGCGAAGGCAGCCAUCUGGCCUAAUACUGACGCUGAGGUACGAAAGCAUGGGGAGCAAACAGGAUUAGAUACCCUGGUAGUCCAUGCCGUAAAC